AACGAACGCUGGCGGCAGGCUUAACACAUGCAAGUCUAGCGCCCCGCAAGGGGAGCGGCAGACGGGUGAGUAACGCGUGGGAAUCUACCCAUCUCUACGGAAUAACGCAUGGAAACGUGUGCUAAUACCGUAUACGUCCUUCGGGAGAAAGAUUUAUCGGAGAUGGAUGAGCCCGCGUUGGAUUAGCUAGUUGGUGGGGUAAAGGCCUACCAAGGCGACGAUCCAUAGCUGGUCUGAGAGGAUGAUCAGCCACACUGGGACUGAGACACGGCCCAGACUCCUACGGGAGGCAGCAGUGGGGAAUAUUGGACAAGGGGCGCAAGCCUGAUCCAGCCAUGCCGCGUGAGUGAUGAAGGCCCUAGGGUUGUAAAGCUCUUUCACCGGUGAAGAUAAUGACGGUAACCGGAGAAGAAGCCCCGGCUAACUUCGUGCCAGCAGCCGCAGUAACAC
rnacentral:rRNA from 1 species